UUAGUCCAGGAAUUUACCAAAACAUCCAAAACUCAUAUCAGCGACAAAACAAGAGCAUAACCACUGCAUGUAUCAAGCAAGAUGAUCCUUUGAAUGUUGCUGGAAUACUUUCCUGACCCUGAAACCACUGACAAUUUCCACUGCUAAAGAAGUGUGUGCUAAAGAUGGAUUUAUUGGGGUCCCACCCUCCAAACCGUAUCAGCAGAACUUCAACACCAGGUUCUUGUAGUUUCAGAACUCUUGUGCCCCCCCCAAUACUUACCUCUGAAUUUCUCACUUUCAGUCCAUGACUCCCAAACGCACUGACCCACUUGACCAAAUUUACCCUGGCACAAGGGUUCACUGGAGUAUUUACCUACAGCACAGUUGUACCACAUGGGGAGAUUGCAAGCAGGGCAGGGGGUAGAGGUUAUCCAAACCACCUCCAAUCCCCAGCCCCAGCCAUUGUGCAGCACUUUCACCAGGUAAAUACUACAGCAGGAGUCAAAGGAAGUCAGGAAGAGUCUGAGAGCGAUCUGUCACCGAAAUUUGAAUGAUGUAUUUAAUAACACUGUGAAAUAGCACACUUUAGCUCCAGUAGCUCAUCAGCCUUAGCUCCCCUGAUCUGUGCACGGCGCUGACAGCUCCUUAACAUAACAAUGGGAUCCACGGGCCAAACUCACCACCGGAGCAGCUCUGCUGAAGUCAGCGAGGCUAUGUCAGAAUUCAUUCAGCCCAGCAAUCACUCUGCAUUAUCCGGGCUGCUGGUGGGGCCGCAACACCUGAGGAAUGACAAUCCCGGCUGGCAAAGAAGCAAAUGUUCAUCAAAUUAUUAUAGGAUUUCCAACUAAUUUUCCCUGAAACACAGUUGUACUGAAGAGAAGGAAAGAGAAGAAGGAGAAAAGGAG
rnacentral:lncRNA from 1 species